rnacentral:tRNA from 1 species
GCGGACAUAGCUCAAUGGCAGAGCGCCGGCUUGAAACACCGGAGAUAUGGGUUCGACUCCCGUUGUCCACA